GUAGCACAUUUGGAACGUACAGGACACUAUCUGACGGUAAAGGAUAACCAAGUGGUGCAGCUGCAUCCGUCCACCUGCCUCGACCACAAGCCCGACUGGGUUAUAUACAAUGAGUUUGUACUCACAACAAAGAAUUAUAUACGCACAGUCACCGAUAUUAAACCGGAAUGGUUACUCAAAAUAGCACCACAGUACUACGAGUUGAACAACUUCCCACAAUGCGAGGCUCGUCGUCAACUCGAGCUGCUGCAGGCCAGGCUUGACUCCAAGGCCUACCAGGAGGGCUUUUAAACCUAAGUCCGGAAGACCUAUACAAGUGUUGAAGUGAACUAGUGCAGUGAUAAACUUGAGUGACCUUUUAAAUAUCAAAAUAGUGUCAGUGUAAAGACAAUUCACGUAUAAAAAAGGUAGGCAGAAAACAUAGAUUUUGGUGCAAUACUAGCACAAUUGAUAAAGAAUGAAUUAAAAACAAACACUUUAAUUUACAUAUCGGUUUUUACAUACACCUAUGUAAAUAAUAAAGGCAAACAAUAAUUAAAAACAGCUAUUUAGUAUUAAAAUCCUUACAAAGUUAUGUUAAUAUAGUUAAAGAUGCAACGCAAACGGUCAUAAAUUGAUUUUUAUUUAUUAAUUUCCAUUUAGAUUAUUUCCAAAA